UUGACAUGUUUUAGUCAUAAGAACUCCAAAACUGCUAAACAACUUUUCCAAACUACUUUUUUUAACAACAUUUAAAAUGGUGCUUUUCCAAAAAGCAGAUUGGAACUACAAUCCCAAAAACAGGCCAUUUUUUGCCCCAUAAUUAUCGUCAACAUUGUGGAUAAAGUUAAUGUAAUAUCACAGGCAUUAAAUGAUAAUGAGUGCAUUUUAUGUAAAUGCCUUUAAUAUUGCUUUUUGGAUGUAUGCUAUCCUAAAUUGAAAAUUUGAUCCCUGUAAUUAACAUAUGCAGGCUGCAUUUGCUUCAAGAGAAGUAGCAAAAGGGAAAUCUCUACGGAUGAUCAAAUGGGCUGGAGUUGCUUACAAUAUUCAGACACAAAGCUUUCCAAAAUUUGGCC
rnacentral:misc_RNA from 1 species